GAUGAAGAACGCAGCGAAAUGCGAUAAGUAAUGUGAAUUGCAGAAUUCAGUGAAUCAUCGAAUCUUUGAACGCACCUUGCGCCCUUUGGCCAUUCCGAAGGGCAUGCCUGUUUGAGUAUCAUGAACACCUCAACUCUCAUGGUUUGCCAUGAUGAGCUUGGACUUUGGGGGUCUUGCUGGCCUACGGUCGGCUCCUCUCAAAUGAAUCAGCUUGCCAGUGUUUGGUGGCAUCACGGGUGUGAUAACUAUCUACGCUUGUGGUUUCCCACCAGGUAACCUUCAGUGAUGGAGGUUCGCUGGGGCUCAUAAAUGUCCCUCCACAGUGAGGACAGCUUUUGAACGUUUGAUCUCAAAUCAGGUAGGACUACCCGCUGAACUUAAGCAUAUCAAUAAGCGGAGGA
rnacentral:misc_RNA from 1 species